rnacentral:other from 2 species
AAAAUCCUGAAGUGUUCGUCAUUUGCCAAUCAGUUUUGACCCAACAUAUUAUCGUCGGGAGUCUGCUGUUCCAACUUGGAUGGCAUGCCUUUAAUCGGGACGUCAAAAGAGCUGGAUAAGACACCCACCUGCUACAUGCGGGUUCAAAGCGAUAUCCAAAGACGGCACAGUCGGGAUUUUA